UCAUCCUACUCGGGUUAGUUGAUGAUUGAAUAGGGGCAGCUGUAACACCCCAAAAUUUGCCCUCCUCAUUCAUGCAUUCAUUUAGCAUUUCAUCAUGUCAAUCAGAAUUAGAUCCAAGAAACUUUUUUUUUAAAAAAAAUAAAAAAUAAAAAAUAAAAAAUAAAAAAAAAUAAUAAAAAUAAAAUAAAAUAUAAUAGAAAAAACUUG
rnacentral:lncRNA from 1 species